UCAUUAAAUCCAAAGCCAUAUGAGGAGUAAGAUACAAGGUUGUAUGCUAGAAAAUGUUCUGGCUUGAUGCAUAUACUCAAAGUUUGUUUUCUGGAGGACAGACAGUCCAGAAGGGUAAACUAAGAGUGUAUGGGCUGGUCCAUAAUGCAAAGGUGGGGUGUAUUGUUGUUUGAGUAUGGUUUCCAUCCACUUCACAGAGAAAAGAGAAGACAGGGUACUGUUUGAUUUGAGGGACUCUGUUGCUAGAAACCCAAUAAUUUUACCAUGGAAACAUAGCAGCUGUCAUACUGUUGCUGCCACUACUGCUAUUUUGGAUAAGAAAUGCUUCAGUUCUUUGACCUCCAUGAUUUCUGUGUUGAGUGGAUAUGAGAGAGAUCAUCCAAAGACACAGAAAAAGAAAUCCCAGAACAUUCUGCUGAAGAAGAUCUGAAGGAUACCUUUGCAUGGAUUCUCCAAUUCUCAGCUUCUUUGGCAAAGUCCAGGUUGCUGAAGACUAACAGCGUUGACUUCUGAGCAUGUGAUGAUGAAAGACAAGGUCUGCAGAAAGGGAAGAAAAUCUUGCAAAUUGCAUUUUGUAGAGUUCAGUGGCCUUGACCCUUCAGCAAUGCAAGCCACCCUCCCAAGCAGUGCUCCUGCCUCAUGUGUUACAUUCAAAUGAAACAAAACAGGAUAGAAGAAAGAGAGCAUGCAAAAAGUAUAAUAGCCUCAGUAGGCAGCAAGCCAGCCUCAGAAACAGGCUAUCGCCAACCAUUGUCUGCUGUCUGCUUUGUUUUCUUUAAAACCCUAGAGAAUCUGAAGCUGUUCACAGCUCCAUUUCUGGGUCAGAGAGGCUGUUACCCUGAAAUAAAAAUAUACAUGGAACAGCCA